rnacentral:lncRNA from 1 species
UGCAAAUAAGAUACACAUUUUGUUGUUUUCAGUCCGUUGUUAAGCGCACAGCUCUAAAUAAGAUGGUAAUAAAAUGGAUUUACAAUGUCGAUGUUGAAAAUAUAGACAACCUUUUGUUCAUGAACUGUGUGAAAUGAGGAUACAUUGUAGUUUCGUGUAUAAGCUUAUAACAGUGGAGAUAGCCUCGAAGAUGAUUAUUUUGACAGAACUAUAAAAAUUAAUGUAAAAACAGGAUUCCAUAAUGGCAGAGGGGGGCCCUAGCGGCGACGAAACGGACACGAUGCCUAGUUUAUUCAAAGAAUAUUUCAGUAGAAGAAGACGUUUAGCAUUCAGAGGAAGUUUAGGUAAGUCUUAGGCUCUGAAUUGUCAAGUUUACCAUUGUAUGAUUCAUAUUACUAUAAAUCAUUUGAGCUACAUGUAUCAAAUGUUUGUGAAUAGAAGAUGGAAUUUUAUACAUAUAAUUCUAAUAUGAAUAUUCCAUGCACACCUUCGUUCAAACACGAUAAUUUGUUAGAUACACAUGUAUCAAAGACGUCAAAUCAACUGUUUCUUUUACAUGCAUUGGAUAUCGUUUAAACAGGUUCCUUUAAGUGGUAUAGUAUUGUGGAAUUGUAUACGUUUUCAAUUACAUGUUAAAGCUGCUUUCCACAGUCUAAGUAAAGUUCGAUAUAGAAAAAAAUAAUUGUACUUGUACGUGGUCAAAUAAUUCUGAUUUCGAUAGUGAAACAUUGAUAACUGUUAAAUUCGGCAUACUUUCAAAGAUUUCAGUGGUAAACUACUAAGUGUCGUCGACGACUCUUUUGCAGUUAAAAAAACAGCAAAGGAAUUACUAGCUGUGGCUUUUAUUUAUAGAUUUGAAAUUUUACUGGAAUGAUCCACUUCAGUAAAGGGGUACCCUAACUUUUCAUAUCUUAUUUUUAUAAUAAAUAUCUAAAUGACUGCCUCUCUCGAUAAUAAGACGCCGUGGUGCAUUGGUAAGCGUGACAGCUCUAGAAUGUAACUUUUGUGAGUACGAACUCCAACGGAGAUCAAUAUGUUUUUUUUUAUUUGAUUUUUAUUUUAUUUUAUAUUUGGCUAACACAAACUUUAAAAUAAUGAUGUUAAAUAUAUAUUUGAAUUGCAUUGCUAGAAUCAUUUUGCUAUUUUCGCAUAUAACAUAGGUUCAAAUAUCUUCUUGAUUGUGAAUUAUACAAUAUGGUGUGUACUUGCCAGGGAGUGCACGAACUGCACGAGAAUAACAUUGUUUUAUCAUUUUCAUAUUACAUACUCUGCCACAUUGAGAAAAUAGCCAUACUCGGUGGCACAAAACUCUCUCUUCAAACGAACGAUAAAUAGAAUUAGGAGAGUAUAUCUAAUUCCUAAUUGCACACUACAGUUCCUCGCGUGACUUUGGAGAUUCCUAUUUAUCAGUGUUCUUUAAACAUAUUUCAAACCCUUAUUUAAUAAAUGGAACAGUCUGGAAAAUCCAAAUCUAAAAAACAACCCAAGCUACUACUUUCAAUU